rnacentral:lncRNA from 1 species
GGUGGGGUCAGUUCCUACAGCUCCAAGCAGAGAACUCUCAGCCUGUGGAAAGCAUGUGCUUUGCUUUUCUUUGUCCUGUGUGCUUCCUUUUGUAGCACUGCACCAUCCUUUUUCUGAUAUUUUCUCCUGAUGCAUAAUAUGAAAACUCCAAACUUUCAUGGGCAAAAAAUGUAGAAAUAAUCAGUACUCUCUGCUCUGGCUAGAUCCAAGAAGAGAAGAAACAAGGGAUCCCUGCCAUGUAGACCACACAGCUCAAGUUCCCAUUUGUAUCAGAAGAACUUUACAAUGUAUCUACAGGUAAGAGAAAGGGAAUUGAAAACAACAACAACAA